rnacentral:rRNA from 1 species
UACGAAGGGGGCUAGCGUUGCUCGGAAUCAUUGGGCGUAAAGAGCGUGUAGGCGGCCCGAUAAGUCCGCCGUGAAAGUCCAGGGCUCAACCCUGGAAUGCCGGUGGAAACUGUCGGGCUGGAGUCCGGAAGAGGCGAGUGGAAUUCCCGGUGUAGCGGUGAAAUGCGCAGAUAUCGGGAGGAACACCUAUUGCGAAGGCAGCUCGCUGGGACGUUACUGACGCUGAGACGCGAAAGCGUGGGGAGCAAACAGG